rnacentral:misc_RNA from 1 species
UCGCCUUUUGCCUUGAUAAUACUGCUCUUAUCUACAUGAUCUUGUUAUAAUGUUACAGUAAUUACUUGAUACUUGAUACCAAGUUAUCAUUAUGUGGCACAAUCUAAUUAGUAACUGGGUCGUUUUAGUAGUUCUUCUCUCUAUUGACUAGUGAUAUAAUUAGCCAAAUUCCCAACUAUAACAAAUUUUGUAGAAGAACACAUUCAGAACUGAAUGGCGAACUGGGA